rnacentral:rRNA from 1 species
UUGGAAACAGGUGCUAAUACCGCAUAACAGUUUAUGCCGCAUGGCAUAAGAGUGAAAGGCGCUUUCGGGUGUCGCUGAUGGAUGGACCCGCGGUGCAUUAGCUAGUUGGUGAGGUAACGGCUCACCAAGGCCACGAUGCAUAGCCGACCUGAGAGGGUGAUCGGCCACACUGGGACUGAGACACGGCCCAGACUCCUACGGGAGGCAGCAGUAGGGAAUCUUCGGCAAUGGACGAAAGUCUGACCGAGCAACGCCGCGUGAGUGAAGAAGGUUUUCGGAUCGUAAAACUCUGUUGUUAGAGAAGAACAAGGACGUUAGUAACUGAACGUCCCCUGACGGUAUCUAACCAGAAAGCCACGGCUAACUACGUG